CGCCGACUAGGCCGUCGCCGCCGCUCUCUUCUUUCCGGCCUCAAGAGAUCCGAACCCGAAUUAUACCAUUUUUCACUUUUACUUGUUUGAGCUCGGUUUUCACGGUUUCCUCUAUGGUAUUCAUAAAUCCGGAGACUUUAAUCAGGAAACAGGAUGCUGAAAUCGUUAUUUAAUCUCCUAGUAAUGGAAUGGCCAGAAUUGCAUUCUUCGGUGGCUGUAAAUUCUCACUCAGUCACUCAUCUUCACCAUUUGCUAAGCUCCUGGAAACCUGCACGAAAUCUAGGUCAUCAACGGACGUCCGGGCUGUCCAUGCUUCCAUUGUCAAGUCUCAGUUCAUUCAUGAAGUGUUCAUCAACAAUAGGCUGAUCGAUGUGUACGGAAAAUGUGGGUAUUCUAAAUACGCCCGUAAGUUGUUCGACAAAAUGCCUACAACAAAUGCCUUUACUUAUAAUUCAAUUAUCGGUGCAUUGACGAUGUCUGGAUCGAUAGAUGAGGCUGAAAAGGUUUUUGCUUCAAUGCCUGAAUGUGAUCAGUGUUCCUGGAAUUUGGUGGGCUCUGGUUUUGCUCAGGCUGAGAACUUUGAUAGAUCUUUGGAGUAUUUUGUGAAAAUGCAUGAAGCAGAUUUCAUGCUAAAUGAGUAUAGUUUUGGGAGUGCACUCAGCGCUUGUGCCGGAUUGCGGGACUUGCUAACGGGUAUACAAAUUCAUGCUUGUCUUGCUAAGUCAAGGUUCGAAUUGGAUGUCUAGGCCGGUCGCCGACUAGGCCGUCGCCGCCGCUCUCUUCGUAGCCUCUCUCCGUCGUCGUUGUCCAGUCGGUUGCUGCUCUAUCCCCUUUCUCAAACCGCCCACCAUCAGAAAUCUUCCUGCCAUCUUCUAAUCGUCUUGUCGAGCUCAAGAUGGGUAGGCCAUCUUCUAAUCGUCCUGGAACUGCGAACCUCGUCAUUGAGGUUGGCGAGGCCGAAAACCCUCCCACUGGAUCUAUAGGGGUUUACUCCAAGCCUGAGGCUAGAUCUUGGUCUCUGGAAGGGGCACUGAAACUGAAGAAUUUGCUCGGAUAUGGAGAUAUUUGGGAUGGUUCGGUUGCGUGUGGAUGGGGUCAGGUAUUGGAAGUUAGCGCGGGACUCUCUUUACCUCGAUUUAAAGGAAUGUCGACUCCUUUGUCUUGGCAAAACCCACGAUUAUGAAUCAUAUAUUAUGUAUCUUUCAACUAUUCUGCUGGGAAGAGGGACUAAAGGCUUAUAUAUUGAGUGGACUUGAUUGGCUUUCAAAAGAAAGUCAAAUAUGCAAUUAAAGAAGAGGAGACUAGCUCAAUUAAUUAAUUACAUUGUCAAUAAUAUAUAUAUAAUCCUGAUAGAUGAUUUUGAGAAGAAACCUAGUUUGUAAUAAGGUAAUGCAGGCCGACUAUUAGAUUGUAUUAAGCUCCAUUGGAUUUUGUUAUGUGCAGCAGUUUGUAUACA